CCUACGUGAGGCUGCAGUGGGGAAUAUUGGACAAUGGGCGAAAGCCUGAUCCAGCCAUGCCGCGUGUGUGAAGAAGGCCUUCGGGUUGUAAAGCACUUUCAGUGGGGAAGAAAGCCUUGGGGCUAAUACCCUCGAGGAAGGACAUCACCCACAGAAGAAGCACCGGCUAACUCCGUGCCAGCAGCCGCGGUAAUACGGAGGGUGCGAGCGUGUAAUCGGAAUUACUGGGCGUAAAGCGCGCGUAGGCGGUCUGAUAAGCCGGUUGUGAAAGCCCCGGGCUCAACCUGGGAACGGCAUCCGGAACUGUCAGGCUAGAGUGCAGGAGAGGAAGGUAGAAUUCCCGGUGUAGCGGUGAAAUGCGUAGAGAUCGGGAGGAAUACCAGUGGCGAAGGCGGCCUUCUGGACUGACACUGACGCUGAGGUGCGAAAGCGUGGGUAGCAAACAGGAUUAGAUACCCGAGUAGUC
rnacentral:rRNA from 1 species